rnacentral:rRNA from 1 species
AAGUCGUAACAAGGUUUCCGUAGGUGAACCUGCGGAAGGAUCAUUACUGAACCGUCGACAUGAGUUGUUGCUGGUCCUCAAAAGGGGGCAUGUGCACGCUCUGUUUACACAUCCACUCACACCUGUGCACCCUCUGUAGUUCUAUGGCCUCGGGGACUCCGUCCCCUUGCUGUGGUCCUACGUCUUUACACACACACACUGUAAUGAAGUCUCAUGGAAUGUAUGUCGCGUUUAACGCAAUACAAUACAACUUUCAGCAACGGAUCUCUUGGCUCUCGCAUCGAUGAAGAACGCAGCGAAAUGCGAUAAGUAAUGUGAAUUGCAGAAUUCAGUGAAUCAUCGAAUCUUUGAACGCACCUUGCGCCCUUUGGCUAUUCUGAAGGGCAUGCCUGUUUGAGUAUCAUGAACACCUCAACUCUCAUGGUCCGCCAUGAUGAGCUUGGACUUUGGGGGCCUUGCCGGCCUACUUGCCGGCUCCUCUCAAAUGAAUCAGCUUGCCAGUGUUUGGUGGCGUCACAGGUGUGAUAACUAUCUACGCUUGUGGUCUACCACCAGGUAACCUCCAGUGAUGGAGGUUCGCUGGAGCUCACAAAUGUCUCUCCUCAGUGAGGACAGCUU